CAGUAGCCGCGGUAAUGCGUAGGGUGCGAGCGUUAAUCGGAAUUACUGGGCGUAAAGCGUGCGCAGGCGGUUGUGUAAGACAGGUGUGAAAUCCCCCGGGCUUAACCUGGGAACUGCGCUUGUGACUGCACAGCUAGAGUAUGGCAGAGGGGGGUGGAAUUCCACGUGUAGCAGUGAAAUGCGUAGAGAUGUGGAGGAACACCGAUGGCGAAGGCAGCCCCCUGGGCCAAUACUGACGCUCAUGCACGAAAGCGUGGGGAGCGAACAGGAUUAGAUACCCCAGUAGUCCCUGUCUCUUAUA
rnacentral:rRNA from 1 species